rnacentral:rRNA from 1 species
AUACGAAGGGUGCUAGCGUUGUUCGGAAUUACUGGGCGUAAAGAGCAUGUAGGCGGAUUGAUUAGUCAGAGGUGAAAGCCCCGAGCUCAACUUGGGAAUUGCCUUUGAUACUGUCAAUCUAGAGACCGAGAGAGGUGAGUGGAAUUCCCAGUGUAGAGGUGAAAUUCGUAGAUAUUGGGAAGAACACCAGUGGCGAAGGCGGCUCACUGGCUCGGUACUGACGCUGAGAUGCGAAAGCGUGGGGAGCAAACAGGAUUAGAUACCCUAGUAGUCC